rnacentral:lncRNA from 1 species
GGUUGGAAAGUGAAGAUAAUUUUUCUUUUAACUGGCUCCUUGAGAAAAUGCUUUGUUCUAUAUAUUAUUAGCCUUCUGUCUGCAAAACAGCAGAUUGGAUCACUCUGUUCCUCAUUGUUCCAAACACUCUGAUUGCCCUGCAGAUGCCAGCUGAUCAAUGCCCAAGCUGAACCUCUCACCAGACUAGAUUUUGACAGAGACUGUGCCACCAAGCAGGGGCUUGAGUGGGAGUCAGACUCCUCAAUGCCCCCCACAACGUACGGAUUUGAACAAGCACAGAGGUCUGAGAUGGCUAUUCCCUGCUCGUCUCACAGCUAUUCGUCGGGGUAUACUUAUAGAGCACAGAAGCGGAGCAUAGAGGCUCUUGGGACACAUUGCAUCAGGCCUGCAGUUAAGAAGCUGAAAGAAAAGAUCUGAGUGACAUGGGAACAUGAUAGCAGUAAGUUUGAGAA